CAGGCAUGUCACACGCAUCUUGGUUUUACCGUUACCACGGCACCGACUCGGACCACGCCUCUUGGGAGAAGCCCCGCCCCGCGCUGCUCGCUGGCCACACCCGCCGCACGGGGCAUGCGCAGUGACCUGACGCCCCACUGCACUUGCUCCCACGUGCCCUCGGGGCACCUCCCAGCACCGGAAGUUCUCCCUCCCUUCCCAAACUGCCGUCCAGUGACCGGGGUCAUCGCUGACCCCACACAAGCAGGGACCCAGACCAGCUCACUCCGUCAGGAAGGGGAGAGUCAGGGAAGCCGGGCAGCCGCUCUGCCAUCCCGGCAGCCUCGGGGCCCCCCUCUGCCCCAGCCUUCGUUCCCGGCCUCGCCAUGAUGGUGGCAUGGGCUCCACGGCCUAGGUCAGGCUGAAGCUCUUUCUGCCCCGAAGCUUCCCUGCGGAGACAGAGGGCCCUGAAGGGACUGUGGCUUCCUGCCACUUCCGGGACCUCACAAGAUGGACUUCCCGGGAGCCUGCGCCGGCUCCUUGUGCCGAGCCGGGGCACGGAGCGCCCUGGGACUGGAGGGGCGGCAGUGGCGUGGGGCUGAGGUGGGCCCGGGCAUCAUCUCCUGCGCCUGCUGGGCCGAUGCCUGUGAGCUGCAAGCUACGUGGCCCUGGUGAGCCUCAGGCUGCCCUGGCGCCUCGGACGUUCCAUGACUGACCGCAACUGCUGUUGAUGGGUGGAGCAGGGGGACCACGCGGCACAGCCCCGGACCCUGCCUGGCCUACCACGGGAUCCCGAGUUCCCACUUCUUCCCAAGAGAGAAGAGGACCCCGACUUCCGUCUGCCUGGCCCUGGUGCCCCGCGGAACUCCAGCAGACCCGUAGAGUUAUAAACAGAGAGACACAGAGAAAAGUCUUCCUUCCAUUGGUUCACUCCCCAAAUGGCCACUGCGGCCGGCACUGCGCCGAUCUGAAGCCAGGAGCCAGGUGCUUCCUCCUGGUCUCCCAUGCUGCCAUCCUCCACUGCCCUCCCGGCCACAGCAGAGAGCUGGACUGGAAGAGGAGCAACCAGGACUAGCACCUGGCACCCUUAUGGGAUGCCAGCGCCGCAGGUGGUGGAGGAUUAACCAAGUGUGCUCCAUUCCUCAGUGAGCAAAGCCAAGACGGUGUCCUGUGAGACUGAUUCUAACGACAGGCAGACAGUGGACAGCAGCCCUCAGACGCAGAGUUGAAGCAUGUGGUUUUCCUGUCAGAGAAGAUACUUCAGCAGGCACUGUUUGCAAGCUGCUGUAGGAAUGUGUGCCAGUGUUCCUUUCUCUUAAGGUAGAAGCGAUGAAGUGGAAUCACCAUCUUACAGAGUAUGCAGGUUUCCUUUCCAUUCUGGUCCUGCCCGAAUGCCCGUCAAAGUGUAUGUAUGAGAUUCCUACAUUUUAUUUAUUUAUUUAUUUUUGACAGGCAGAGUUAGAGAGAGAGAGAAAGAGAGAAAGGUCUUCCUUAGUUUGGUUCAUCCCCCAAUGGCCACCACGGCCAGCGCCCUGUGCCUAUCCGAAGGCAGGAGCCAGGUACUUAUCCUGGUCUCCUAUGGGGUGCAGGGCCCAAGCACUUGGGCCAUCCUCCACUGCACUCCCUGGCCACAGCAGAGAGCUGGACUGGAAGAGGAGCAACCGGGACAGAAACCGGCGCCCCAACCGGGACUAGAACCCGAGGUGCCGGCACCGCAAGGCGGAGGAUUAGCCUAGUGAGCCGUGGCGCCAGCCGAGAUUCAUACAUUUUAAAUACAUUUUCUGUUCCUUGAGUAAUGUAUGGAUCCAUCCAUCACUCACCCUCCCAACACUUCAAGCUAUAUUUGAACUUCCAAGUAUUUGCUGAACUAAUGAAUGAGAAAGAGCGUCUCUUUAUUGCACUUUGCGGUUAGUUCCGUGAUUAUUAGCAGAAUGAAGCAGCUUUUUGAAUCCGAUUACUGGACAUUUAUGUUUCCCAGGCUGAGGAUUGCCUGGUCAUGGGCUAUCCAAUUUCUAUCAGAUUUUUAAUUUUCUUUUUAUUCAUUUUUAAGGGCUCUUUCUUUAUUCUUGGUCCUCAUCCUUUGUCUCUUAAGUGGAUUAUCAAGAAUUAUAGCAAAUGCGUCAUUUUCCAAAAACUUUUUUAAAGAUUUAUUUAUUUAUUUGAAAGGCAGAGUUACAGAGAAACAGAGGCAGAGAGAGCGAGAGCAAGAGUGAGAGAGAGAGAGAGAGGUCUUCCACCACUGGUUCACUCCCCAGAUGGCUGCAAUGUCUGGAGCUGGGCUGAUCUGAAGCCAGGAGCCAGGAGCUUCUUCCGGGUCUCCCACGUGGGUGCAGAGGCCCGAGGACUUGGGCCAGCUCCCACUGCUUUCCCAGGCCACAGCAGAGAGCUGGGUCAGAAGUGGAGCAGUGGGACUGGAACUGGCACCUAUAUGGGAUGCCGGCACUGCAGACAGCGGCUCUACCCACUAUGCCACAGCACUGGCCUCCCAAAAAUUUUUAUGUUGUCAUUUGUCACAAAGAAUUACGGCCUGUAGUGUGAUCAACUCUAGGAAAUUUUUUAUUUAUGGCUUUUGAUUUUGGUGCUUUAUCUAAAAAGCUUCCUGUAUCCCAGGUUGAUAAAUCAGUCUCCUGUAUUUCUUCUUCUUUUAAAUAAUCAUGUAUAUUUUUAUUUAUUUUUUAUUUAUUUUUUUUUUUGACAGGCAGAGUGGACAGUGAGAGAGAGAGAGAGAAAGGUCUUCCUUUGCCGUUGGUUCACCCUCCAAUGGCCGCCGCGGCCGGCGCACCGCACUGAUCCGAUGGCAGGAGCCAGGAGCCAGGUGCUUUUCCUGGUCUCCCAUGGGGUGCAGGGCCCAAGCACCUGGGCCAUCCUCCACUGCCUUCCCGGGCCACAGCAGAGAGCUGGCCUGGAAGAGGGGCAACCGGGACAGAAUCCGGCGCCCCGACCGGGACUAGAACCUGGUGUGCCGGCGCCGCUAGGCGGAGGAUUAGCCUAGUGAGCCGCGGCGCCGGCCCAAUCAUGUAUAUUUUUAAAGAUUUAUUUAUUUGAAAGUCAGAGCUACAGGGGUGAGGGGGGAGAGAGACAAAGAGAGAGAUCGAUUGUCCAUCUACUGGUUCACUCCCUAGGUGGCCAAAACGGCUGGGGCUAGGCCAGUUCAGAGCCAGGAGCUUCUCCCACAUCUCCCACGCGGGUGGCAGGGACCCAAACACUUAAGCUGUCUUCUGCUCUUUUUCCCAGACCACUGGCAGGGACUGGAUUGGAAGUGGGGCAGCCAGGACAUGAGCACCUAUAUAGGACUUCGGCAUUGAAGGUACAGGCUUAACCCGCUAUGCCACAGCGCCAGCCCCAGUCUAAGGACUUUAACCCAUUAGAACGUUUUCUUUAUGGAUGGUGUUUAGUUUUCCCAAACGUGCAGUUGUCCCAGUAUCAUGUAUUAAAUAGUAUAGUUUCCUUCAGCAUUCAACAGUGUAUUUUUUUUUUUAAUUUAAGAAUCAGAGAGAUGGAGGGAGAGCAAAAAAGGAAGAGACAGAGAGAGACUAGGAUCUCUCAUUCACUGGUUCACUUCCCACAGCAGCUGGGCUGGACCGGAGCUGGAGCCAGGAGCCAGGAGCCAGGAACUCAGUUCAGGUCUCCCACUCAAGUAGCUGGAAUUCAAUGACGUGAGCUGUCACCACUGCCUUUCACGGCCUGUGUUGGCAGGAAGCUGGAAUCCGGAGCCAGAGCCAGGAACUGGCCCCAGGCGCUGUGUUGCGAGACAUGGGGAUCUCAAGUGCCAGGUCACUGCCUGCACCUGUGUCCCAUUUGGGUUAAGAGAUCAAAGGGCAGGAAAUGGCUGAAUUUUCUAUUAAUUAUGUUAUUAUUAAUUUAUUGCCUUUUCUGACAUCGUCACAUCAUUCUAAUUUCUAUAAUUUUAUAAAACUUUUAAUCUUACAGAAUACAGAUUAUUUCAAAUAUUCACCUGGUCAAUGUACAUUUUCCUUUCAUGUUAAUUUUUAAAUUAUCCUAAAAUUUCAUGAAAACUCCUGUUGCAUUACAGUUGAAAUAACAGUGACAUGAAUCGUUUUGGCAGAAUUUCUCUUUCCAAAUACUUUAGGCUUUUUAUUUGCUUAAACUUUGAUUGUAAACUAUUUUAUUAUAAACUAUUUUACUACAUUCAAGUAAGAAUAUGUAGCCUUCUUCCCAACAAUAAAUGCAAGAGCUCCUCAAUAAAGUUUAUAAAAAUGCACAUUAUCUUUUAUUCUGUUUUUCCGUGAGCAUUUUGAAGCCCCUUGGGUGUGCUGAGCACCUGCUUCAUAAAGCCGCUCUCGUAGUCCCUGCGGCUCAGAGGUGACGAGACGGCGUGCGUUUCCUCUGCCCUCUUGUGGCUUAACCUUCCUGCCUUUGGCAAGUCACUAACACUUCCUUUGUGGGUUAGAAAAAUGAUGAGCUGUUCAAAACGCUAAGUGGAAUGUGUUAAGACUAUGUAUUCUGUGUGGAUUACAGAUUUUGAAAUAUAUCUAGUAAAUAAUCUUAUUAAUGAAAUUAU